CUGUCUUAGUUGGCGGACGGGUGAGUAACGCGUGGGCAACCUGCCCUGUACCGGGGGAUAACACUUAGAAAUAGGUGCUAAUACCGCAUAAUAGGGAAUACCGCAUGGUAAUCCUUUGAAAACUCCGGUGGUACAGGAUGGGCCCGCGUCUGAUUAGCCAGUUGGCGGGGUAACGGCCCACCAAAGCGACGAUCAGCAGCCAGCCUGAGAGGGUGGACGGCCACACUGGGACUGAGACACGGCCCAGACUCCUACGGAAGGCAGCAG
rnacentral:rRNA from 1 species